AGGUCUUGACAUACUAUGCAAAUCUAAGAGAUUAGACGUUCCCUUCGGGGACAUGGAUACAGGUGGUGCAUGGUU
rnacentral:rRNA from 1 species